rnacentral:rRNA from 1 species
UGGGGAAUUUUGGACAAUGGGGGAAACCCUGAUCCAGCCAUCCCGCGUGUGCGAUGAAGGCCUUCGGGUUGUAAAGCACUUUUGGCAGGCAAGAAACGUCAUGGGUUAAUACCCCGUGAAACUGACGGUACCUGCAGAAUAAGCACCGGCUAACUACGUGCCAGCAGCCGCGGUAAUACGUAGGGUGCAAGCGUUAAUCGGAAUUACUGGGCGUAAAGCGUGCGCAGGCGGUUCGGAAAGAAAGAUGUGAAAUCCCAGAGCUCAAGUUUGGAACUGCAUUUUUAACUACAGGGCUAGAGUGUGUCAGAGGGAGGUGGAAUUCCGCGUGUAGCAGUGAAAUGCGUAGAUAUGCGGGGGAACACCGAUGGCGAAGGCAGGCUCCUGGGAUAACACUGACGCUCAUGCACGAAAGCGUGGGGAGCAAACAGG